GCUUACGGCCAUACCACCUUAGGCACGCCCGAUCUCGUCUGAUCUCAGAAGCUAAGCAGGGUCGGGCCUGGUUAGUACUUGGAUGGGUGACCGCCUGGGAAUACCUGGUGCUGUAAGCA
rnacentral:rRNA from 10 species